rnacentral:sRNA from 1 species
CAGUGGGUAAAGUGUUUGUUGUGCAAGCAUGAAGACCCAUGUUCAGAUCCUUAGCACCCACACAAAGAUUCAUGCAUGGUAGCCCACAGCAAAUGAAGCACCAGAAGCAAGCAGACCCAAGGGGCUUGCUGCCCAGCCAGACCAGCUGAACAGUGGUUCAGCAAGAGUCUCUGCCUUAAAAAACUAUAGUAAAGUGGGAUUCAGGGAUUGAGGAAGACACUUAAUGUUGACAGGUAUAGUAUACACAUAUACACACUGCCAUACAGGAACUGAAAGGAGUCAGUGGUUAGAACGCUUGUCUUACAGGUACAUGACCUCUUGUCUGAUACCUAAUACAACAAAAGAAAGAAAAAAGCCACAAGACCCAGAGAAUUCUUCUUGACACGCUCUGGUUUUAUCUACAGCAAUGCUAUUAAUCAUCUACACUUAGAGUAAUGGAAUUAUACACUUAAGUAAUGGAGGGUUUAGGAAGUGUAUAGAAGGUACUUCAGGGCUAAAUUGUCCCUUUUCUAGGGUUGAACACCCUGCAAGGAUGUGAACAAUGGGCACCCAUAAACCAAGUAUUACAUUCAAGAAGAAGUGGGUCUUCUAAUUCAAUAAGGGGAGAGACUCAGUUUUCUUGUCCCAGGGAUUGUUGGUGGUGUUAAAGGAUCAUUCUGGGGGGCAACCCAUUCAAUGAGAGUCCUGGCUGACAGCCUGGGAUCUCAGCAACCCCUAUAUACUUUCAGAGGCCCAAGUUUUGAGAUCAACACACCCUGCAACCCCAGGAAAGUCCUGCUGAGUCUUAGAUUUCCAACCAGUCAGGGGUAUGUUCCCUUCUAAAUGACUGCUGGUUCUGACCUCAUUCAGUGUGGGCACCUCCCAUCAUGUGAACAGUGACACCAAGGUCUGACAUGAGGGGUCAGCAUAGAGAAGGACCUUGAGGGAACCAGGUUGACAUUGAUGCCAUUGAAUUGAACGAAGGUGAACACUCUUCCUGUAAGCGCUGACAUCUUGAUGUUAUGAUUAUGAUGUUAACUUUAAAACCAACACAAAGGCUCAGAUACGAUGUUGCCUAUCAAUACAAUCCAAGGAUUUCCUCUGUUGUCAGCUAAGAAAAGCAGGAUUUCAUUAAAUGUUAAGGAAGUGGGCCAAGGAUGAAGCUGAGGCCAAUGCGGACCUCCCAGAAGCCCUGGGAAAUGGGGGAUAUUUUCAAUGGCUAUUUUUAACAGCACGCUAUUUUUAUCUUGCAGUAUACAAUGGGAUUCUAUAUUUUUAUGAUUUCACUUACCCAGUCUCACUGGGGUUUCCUGUGGUGAUCUUAUUCCUACCUCUGCUAGCAGAAGGUGCUGGGAGAGCAAGCAUUCCCUUCACACUUAGGGUCAUUCCUACUGCCUCCCCAGAGUUAGUCGGACUGAAGCCCUGCUAGAGGUAGAAACUAUACAAGCUCUUUGUCAAACGGCAGGGGGAAGGAUGUUUUCUGUGUGACUCAACCAUCCCAACCUUGGGUAUGCAGCCGCGGGAAGUUAAUGACACACAAAAGCUAAACCUGAAAUGCACGUGAUGCUGAUGGAUUAUUCACAAUAACCAAGACACGGGAGUCAGCUGGAGCGCACAUGUGCAGAAGAGUGGAAAGAGGAAAUCGAGAUGCACACAAUGGGAUACUUAUUAUUCUCCAUGAGCAAGAAUGGAAUCCUGCCAUCUGCAGCUGAAUGGUCGGACCCAAAGGAUACCGGGGUCAGAUAGGCAAGAAGUAUAUGUCGUCUCUUAGACAUGGAAACCAAAAGAGAAAAAUAAAUGACCUGAAAGUGAGAUAUAACUUAUGAGGGAAGGACUGGGAAGACUUUCAUGAUCCCGAGGAGAGACAAAUUACUGACUCCAAGGAGCUUCGCCAGCAGAAAGAUGGCACUCGGUGGCCUUCACCGAUGGGUUUCCAGUCUGUUCUGGGAUGCAAAGAGCAGAACUGAGACAUCUUCAGACAUCCAUCUGCCCUGAUGGCAUGGCUAGUUGGUUCUUGCUGUGACGAGAGUGAAACUGUCUUUUGAAACACCUGUUCUUCAAGCUCCAUGGCUGUGUGGGACUCCUUAGAUGCUGAGGUAAGAAUAAAAAACAAACAGAAUCCUCUUUUUUUGGAGCGGGGGGACAGGUUCUUACUCUACAGUCCAGUCUGCCCUUUGUAUGACUCAGUUUGUGUAGACCCUUGAACUCAUGACAAUCCAGAAUGGUCAGUCAAGCUCCUGGAUGCCUGAUUGCCUCCCCAGACUCCAGAACACAGCUUUGCUGACUAGCCGCAUGCCCCAACUCUUCAGAUAUUUCUGGGGAGUUUUUGCACUGACUCCUGGAGACACUUGACAUUAACUCUGUCCAUUUGCCUUCAAGUUUCACAUGCAGAAAAGGGAAACAUGCGUUUUCUAGCAGACUAGAACAGUCCUGAGUGUUUCCUGUGAAUGUCUCUGUGUGGUGUACCACAGGUCUGUCAGAGUGGGAGGAAACAAAGGGCUUGGACUCAAACAGGACUUCCGGAAUGUUCUUUCAGACGAGUUGUGCUUGGUCCAAACUGAAACUUGGAUGGGUUUAUUUUUUUCACCUGUGAGUUGAGACUGUCGCUGUUUCUUGUGUUCUCACAGGACGUAAUUAGUCGCAUUUCCCACUGCUGUGACAAAAUGCCCGAGGGCAGCGAUGUGAGGAAGCUAGAAGGUUUAUUUUGGCUCAGGAUUUGAGGGUAGAGCCCAUCAUGGUGGGAAACACACCAUGGCAGGGAUGUGAAGCUGCUGGUUGCCUUCAUCCAGUGAGGAAGCAGAAACCGAUGCCAGUGCUCAGCUCCCACCUACUUUUUACUCCUCAGUGUGUAGAGCAGUGUCGCCCACAAUCAGGGCUGCUCUUCCUUCUUCCCUUAGCCCUCACAGACUUGCCCAGAGAUGUGUCUUCCAAACCCAGCCAUUUUGACAGUAAGUAUUAACUAUCGCAGGGACUAAAAUCCCCCCCACCCCCUGAAAGGACUAUUAAGUAAGCAUCAGGCAUGAUACCACUCACCUGUAUCCUGUAUCCCAACCCUUAAGAGACUGGGGCAGCAGGAGGGUUGUGAGUUCAAGGCCAGCCUAGGUCACUUGGAGAAACCCUAUCUCAAAGAAACAAAACAAAACAAAACAAAACAAAACAACAACAAAAACCCCGGGGGCUGGAGGUUUGCCUCAGAGUUAAGAACAUGUGCUGCUCUUCCAGGGGAGCUGGAUUCAAUUUCCAGCACCUCUAUGGUGCUUCAUAACUCUGAUAACUGCAGCCUCAAGGGAUCUGAAGCCCUCUUCUGACCUUCCUGAGCACCAGACAUAUAGGAGGUGCACAUACAUAUAUGUAGGCAGAAACACACACGUAAGAUAAUAAAACAAAUGUUAAAAAGUUAAAAAAAAAAACCAAAGAGUUAGCAAAACCCAGACAAAAAAGUCAUAAUCAGGAUAGCUGAACAGGCUGUGAGUUUCAUCUCUCUGCCCUCAGCAAGAUAUCCUAAGGGAGAAACAGCAAGGACGACAGGGUGUGAUAAGAUGAAAUAAUCAUAUUUUGCACUUAAGUAAAAAACAGUUUUAGAUCAUAGAUCUUCUUCCUACUUGCUGUGCAGUGUUGGGCAGGUUUCAUACUUGCUAAGGUUUUCAUUUUCAUAUUCAAGGCUAAAGGGUUAGAUAGACGAAUCAAUGGUCGAAUCAAAGGACGGGAGUUUGGUUCCAAGAACUUGAGGGUAGCUCAUUUCCAUAGGAACAGGGAUCUGAUGCCCUCUUCUGGUCUCUAUGGGCACUGCACUCAGGUACACACACACACACACACACACACACACACAUUUAAAAAGAAAAUAAGGUCAUUGCACAACACAGUUAAGGACAGUUACUUGUAAGUUAAUAUGAGGGUUAAAUGAAGAUGAUAUUUAUGAAGUUCCUAGAAAAUAUCUUACACAGAUCAAAAAGACCAAGAAGAUGAAAUUGCUUCUGUUUGAAUUAUAGUUUAACUACUUACUCAUAAAAAUGACUAAUAUUUUCACGUUAACACAAGUGAAACUUCUGUGUAGAGAUGUAUUGAUUUCUCUAAAGCUCUACUCUAUAAAGAACGCUCUGAAGACAGGGAUGGGAUUGUGGGCAGUGUUUGGUAUCCUGGCUUAGAGUUGACCCUAUGCUAUGUACUCUGGAAGUGAACACUUCUUUAUUGUUUUUAGUGGUGCUGAGAAUCUGGAAUUUCCAGUCCAGAGAGACGCCUCGGUGACUAAAAGUGUAUACUGUGUUUGUAGAAGAUCUCAACACGUACAUCAGGUAGUUCACAACUGUCUACAGCUUCCGCUCAAGGGAAAUCUGCUAUUCUCUUUGGCUUCUCCAAGAAAAUGAAUGCAUUGCAUAGAUACAACACACACACACACACACACACACACACACACACACUCAUAUGUACGUUUAAUUUUUUAACUAAUUAAAGUUUAUGUGCAUGUGAGUUUUGACCGCAUGUAUGUUUGUGAUUGGUCCAAGCUCUGCUGGAGGCUGUUGCAUUGCUGUACUUAGAUUAUCGACGGGAUGAUAAAGACAGUGGUCACACCUGCCAAUUCCAAGGACACAACACACAAUGCAGCCCUUCCUUUUUGGCUGUGCCCCCAGGAGAGCUCACAUAACCUCUCAGAGUCCUCCAAAGUUGCUUUCUCAGGCAUUUUAUCAGCGACCACAUGAAGCUCAAGAAGAAGAAAG